UACAGAGGGUGCAAGCGUUAAUCGGAAUUAUUGGGCGUAAAGGGCGCGUAGGCGGUGCGGUAAGUCACCUGUGAAAUCUCCUGGCUCAACUGGGAGCUUGCAGGCGAAACUGCCGUGCUGGAGUGUGGGAGAGGUGCGUGGAAUUCCUGGUGUAGCGGUGAAAUGCGUAGAUAUCAGGAGGAACACCUGUGGCGAAAGCGGCGCACUGGACCACAACUGACGCUGAGGCGCGAAAGCUAGGGGAGCAAACAGG
rnacentral:rRNA from 1 species